rnacentral:rRNA from 1 species
UGAAGGCGAAAGCUAGGGGAGCGAACGGGAUUAGAAACCCCGGUAGUCCUAGCCGUAAACGAUGGAUGCUAGGUAUGGGGGGUGUAGAUUCCCUCCGUGCCGCAGUUAACGCGUUAAGCAUCCCGCCUGGGGAGUACGGCCGCAAGGCUAAAACUCAAACGAAUUGACGGGGGCCCGCACAAGCAGCGGAGCGUGUGGUUUAAUUCGAUGCUACACGAAGAACCUUACCUGGGCUUGACAUACAGGUAGUAGUGAAGUGAAAGCGGAUCGAUCCUUCGGGGAGCCUGUACAGGUGCUGCAUGGCUGUCGUCAGCUCGUGCCGUGAGGUGUCGGGUUAAGUCCCGUAACGAGCGCAACCCUUGCUCUUAGUUAUACGUGUCUAAGAGGACUGCCGGCGGUAAGCCGGAGGAAGGUGGGGAUGACGUCAAGUCAGCAUGGCCUUUAUGUCCAGGGCUACACACACGCUACAAUGGCCGGUACAAUGGGUAGCUAAACCGCGAGGUGGAGCCAAUCCUGUAAAGCCGGUCUCAGUUCGAAUUGCAGGCUGCAACUCGCCUGCAUGAAGUCGGAGUUGCUAGUAAUCGCAGGUCAGCAAUACUGCGGUGAAUACGUUCCCGGGCCUUGACACACCGCCCGUCACGUCAUGGAAGCUGGCAACACCUGAAGCCG